UACGUAGGGGGCGAGCGUUGUCCGGAUUCAUUGGGCGUAAAGAGCUCGUAGGCGGUUCAGUAAGUCAGGUGUGAAAGCUCCGAGCUCAACUCGGAGACGCCAUCUGAUACUGCUGUGACUAGAAUCCAGUAGGGGAGUGUGGAACUCCUGGUGUAGCGGUGAAAUGCGCAGAUAUCAGGAAGAACACCAGCGGCGAAGGCGGCACUCUGGGCUGGUAUUGACGCUGAGGAGCGAAAGUGUGGGUAGCAAACAGG
rnacentral:rRNA from 1 species